rnacentral:rRNA from 1 species
AUGUCAGAUACUAGACCUAAUGCCGAAGACAAGCAGUUUGGAGGUAUCACUGUAGUUCUUGGUGGGGAUUUUCGGCAAACACUACCAGUGAUAAAAAAUGCAACCAAGCAACAGAUUUUGAAAUCUUGCAUUGUUAACUCUUAUUUGUGGAACAAGUGCACACUUCUACAGUUGAAUGAAAAUAUGAGGCUCACCUCAGGGUGUCUCUCCAUCUCUAGGAGAGAAGAACUACAGAAUUUUGCUGACUGGCUCUUACGAAUUGGAAAUGGCACUGAGCCUUUUGUUCCUGUUCCAAAUGAACCCAAUAGCAUAUUUAUACAGAUCCCCCAAUAUCUCCUUUUUUCCCCAGAUUCUAGAAAUAUAGAUGGAUUGAUAUCAUUUGUCUACAACUCAGGCUGUGAGUCAACUAACAUUACAUCGUAUUUGUGUGAUCGUGCAAUUCUGGCACCUACAAAUGAUGUCGUUUCUAAAAUAAAUACAAGAAUGAUUUCUCGGCUAGCAACAAGUGAAAUGUCAUAUUAUAGUUCAGAUUCAAUUGAUGAUAGCUGUCCUAAUCAUUCUACUCUAGAAGCAUUAUAUCCAACAGAGUUGCUAAACACCAUUGACAUACCUGGACUUCCAGAUCAUAUACUGCAUUUGAAAAUUGGUGUUCCUAUAAUGCUACUGCGUAAUCUUGAUCCAUCAAGGGGACUUUGUAAUGGCACUAGACUCAUUGUUACACAACUGACUGGUCGUGUCAUUGAAGGAGAAAUCAUAACAGGAAAGGCUAUAGGUUCAAGAGUGUAUAUUCCUCGAAUUGUCACUACGUCAUCUCAGUCUAAGUGGCCUUUCAAAUUGAGGCGUCGCCAGUUUCCUGUUCGCCUUUCAUAUGCUAUGACAAUAAACAAAAGUCAGGGGCAAACACUAAACCGAGUUGGUGUCUACUUGCCAUCUAAUGUCUUCUCACACGGUCAAUUAUAUGUGGCAUUUUCAAGAGUUACAUCACCAGAUGGCUUGCGAGUUUUCAUUGAAAAUAGCCCAGUUUCUUAUGAGCAUUGCACACAUAAUGUAGUAUAUGCCGAGGUAUUCAAUCAAAUUAAUACACAUAGAAGCUAA